GCUGGCGACCGGCGCACGGGUGAGUAACACGUAUCCAACCUGCCCUUUACUCGGGGAUAGCCUUUCGAAAGAAAGAUUAAUACCCGAUAGCAUAAUGAUUCCGCAUGGUUUCAUUAUUAAAGGAUUCCGGUAAAGGAUGGGGAUGCGUUCCAUUAGGUUGUUGGUGAGGUAACGGCUCACCAAGCCUUCGAUGGAUAGGGGUUCUGAGAGGAAGGUCCCCCACAUUGGAACUGAGACACGGUCCAAACUCCUACGGGAGGCAGCAUG
rnacentral:rRNA from 1 species